AACAUGUCUAGGAUCAGGUGAUGUAAUCUACAACAUGUCUAGGAUCAGGUGAUGUAAUCUACAACAUGUCUAGGAUCAGGUGGUGUAAUCUACAACAUGUCUAGGAUCAGGUGAUGUAAUCUACAACAUGUCUAGGAUCAGGUGAUGUAAUCUACACCAUGUCUAGGAUCAGGUGAUGUAAUCUACACCAUCAACAUGUCUAGGAUCAGGUGAUGUAAUGAACGUCAGAUAAAUGAACUAUACACUUCUUAUUACUCUUCAUCAUCAUCAUCAUCAUCAUCAUCAUCAUCAUCAUGGCACAGUACAAAGUCUGAGGAACAACACGGCCACAGAAAUAUACAAUAAAUGUCCUCAAUCACAAUGUCACAUUUUGUUUGAAGAUUUAAAAAUGUAACUAUGUCUUCUGGCAACAAAAAAAAAAAACACGAUAGUUUUACUCAGUGGUCAAAACAACAUCAAUAACUUCUCUCCUAAACCCUCUUCC